rnacentral:tRNA from 1 species
GAGGUCUUGGUUAAUAAAAGUGUUUGAGUUGCAAUCAGAAGAUGUAUUAUAUACAGGCCUUC